rnacentral:rRNA from 1 species
GAAAACAACCGUGAUUCCGUUAGUAGUGGCGAGCGAAGGCGGAUGAGGCUAAACCAUAUGCGUGUCAAGCCGGCAGGCGUUGCGUGUGUGGUGUUGUGGGAGCAAGUGUGUGUGGCUGCCGUCGCAUGCUGUUGAUGUUGUCGUUAGCGGAAGUCGUUUGGAACGGCGCACCGUAGUGGGUGAGAGUCCCGUACGUGAAAGCGGCAAUUGUUGAUGGUUCUUGUUUCCCGAGUAGCAC